rnacentral:rRNA from 1 species
AAGUCGGACGNCAAGGUGCAGUAAUGCAUCCUAGAGUGGCGGACUGGUGAGUAACGCGUGGGUGACCUACNUACCGNCCGGGGAUAGCCGCUAGAAAUAGCGGGUAAUACCGGAUACGGUUGCGGCGCUGAGGCGCCGGGAAGAAAGGAGCUCUGGCUCCGCCGGUAGAUGGGCCCGCGUCCCAUUAGCUAGUUGGGGGUGUAACGGACCACCAAGGCGAUGAUGGGUAGCCGGCCUGAGAGGGUGAACGGCCACAUUGGGACUGAGAUACGGCCCAAACUCCUACGGGAGGCAGCAGCUAAGAAUAUUCCGCAAUGGACGAAAGUCUGACGGAGCGACGCCGCGUGGAUGACGAAGGCCGGAAGGUUGUAAAAUCCUUUUACGGACGAAGAAUAAGGGGGGUAGGGAAUGACCCUCUGAUGACGCUAGUCCGCGAAUAAGCCCCGGCUAAUUACGUGCCAGCAGCCGCGGUAACACGUAAGGGGCGAGCGUUGUUCGGAAUUAUUGGGCGUGAAGGGCGCGUAGGCGGUUACGUAAGUCUGAUGUGAAAGGCCGGGGCUUAACCCCGGGACUGCAUUGGAAACUGUGUAACUGGAGUCACGGAGGGGGAGUUGGAAUUCCGAGUGUAGGGGUGAAAUCUGUAGAUAUUCGGAAGAACACCGGUGCGAAGGCGAAC